CGGGGGCGAAAGGCUGGAUCAAGCAAUGCCGCGUGAGUGAUGAAGGCCUUAGGGUUGUAAAGCUCUUUUACCCGAGAUGAUAAUGACAGUAUCGGGAGAAUAAGCUCCGGCUAACUCCGUGCCAGCAGCCGCGGUAAUAGA
rnacentral:rRNA from 1 species